GACAGAAUUUGCUUCUGUUUAGGAAGCUGUGACAGCAUGGACAGUAGAGUGGAAUAUCUUUGAAGAGAGGCUGGCGCAAGGGGAGGACCCCACGUCUGGAAAUCACACUACUGGCUGUGUACUUCCAAUGCUGGACAAGAUCUGUAAACACCUUGCCCUCGGAGCGCUUCUGUGACUCUGGAUGAGAGAGAGAAGGGGCUUGUUCUGAAGAAAAGUCAACAGCACUGAGGCCAGAACAUGGGUGAUAGAAUGGAAUUGUGCCCUCCCUCAGAAGACAUGACGUGUUAACCUCCAGUACUAGUGAAGGAGAAGCCAGCAGCUUCUGCUGAUGUGAGCAGCCUUGAGGGAGGCCCACUUCAAGUCUACAGCCAACGGUCACGUGAGGCGACACUGAGCUCAUCACGCCCAGAUUCCUGACCCACAGGGGCUGUGGGGUACUAACUGUGGGGGGAUUCCUUCUUGCAGUAUAUGACCAUAGCCACCAAUCACCUGAGACACCACUCUUUUGUCGUUCAGCAGUCCUUCCACUGAGGCCCCUUUCCUUUGGAUUCCUGGUUAUCAUGUUACUCAGUCGUUGUUUAGUCUCCC
rnacentral:lncRNA from 1 species